rnacentral:tRNA from 1 species
UCCCUGGUGGUCCAGUGGUUAAGAAGCCACCUGCCAAUGUGGGGGACACGGGUUCAACCCCUGUUCUGGGAA